GCUCUGUGCCCGGCUUACAGAACUGGAAGGGGGAGCCACCUUCCGCCUGAUGGAGGCUGGAGAACGGAUGGAACCUGGAUCCCUGGAGCCUGGGACACUACCUCGCUGCGGUUGGUGGUGGCCACAGACCAGUAGGAGGGCGGCUGGCAGCGGGAGCUUCUUCUGCCGGGCUGGAGGACUAGGAGAAGGGAGAGGGAACGCCACAUGCUGGAGGCUGGAGCCUGUGCCACCGUGGCUCACCUCGAUGUGGUUGGUGGCAGCUCGCCUUGCUGUGGUUGGUGGUGACGUCGGAGACUGCAGCUCGGCCACAGUGGUAGAAAUGUGUUGGGGUAGCUUUUGCUGUGUUGGGCACUUGCUCCCAUCUGCUUGCUUCUCUAGAAUCCACUGCCCUAGAAUGAGUAAUUUUUCUUAGAAGCAGAGUUGGAACCACUGAGGAAGCACAGGUGAGCCCUCCCCAGCACACACUCGCUAGUCCCC
rnacentral:lncRNA from 1 species